rnacentral:rRNA from 1 species
UACAGAGGUCUCAAGCGUUGUUCGGAUUCAUUGGGCGUAAAGGGUGCGUAGGCGGCGCGGUAAGUCGGGUGUGAAAUCUUGGAGCUUAACUCCGAAACUGCAUUCGAUACUGCCGUGCUUGAGGACUGGAGAGGAGACUGGAAUUUACGGUGUAGCGGUGAAAUGCGUAGAUAUCGUAAGGAACACCAGUGGCGAAGGCGGCUACCUGGACCAGCACUGACACUGAGGCACGAAAGCGUGGGGAGCAAACAGG